GCAUCUUGUUGAUUGUAACAUUUUAUUCUGCUUAUUAUACGUAUUUUAAUAUUUAAUAUCGCUUUCUGUUCUCCACUAUUAAGAAACCAAUUAUUUUACUACAAAUAUAGGUAGUAAUAUUCUAAUUUAAAUUUGCGUUACAUUUUCUGUUUCCUUUAAUUUCUUUAAGUUCUAUAAUUUCUAAGAGUGUAUAAGUAUCACAGAAGCUAGCACACAAUCAAUUGAAAAUGUACUCAUAUAAAAUAGAUAAGUCAAUUGUAGAAACGUCGUGUCGUGAUGCCAUAAAAUAUUAGAAGAAUGUUUUAGUUAUCAAUUGUCAUAGAUUUUAUAUAUCAAACAAUUAUGUAAGAUUUUCAGUUUAUUAGCCUAAAAUUCUGGCGAAUUAUACUUUCAUUCUUAUUAAUUACCUAAUAUAAUUAAUCAACGUCAAAGAUGGCAGACCAUCUAAGAAGUCGACCGCUGUGAAUAUGAAGUUGACAGUUCUAACAAUUGAAGAGGACUUUAGGAAUGAUGUCUAAAAAUCGUAUAGAUUGGUUCGUUGACAAUGAGGCAACUAGUCACAUAACCAACAGAGAAGAUCUUUUACAGAACUUCAUUUAUUUUAAAAAUUUGCUCAUUGUUACCGGCGCUAACGGGCAGAGUAUCCAAGCCAUGGGGAUUGAUACAAUCCGUGCAGAAACUGAGGUAGAUGGACGAUUUGAACAAAUUAUCUUAAAGGAUAUAUGGUAUGUACCUGCCAUAAGCAAAAAUGUUUAUUCUGCUCUUGCCACUCAUGAUAUCGUAAAAGACAAUAUCUUGGAGUUAACUCCAUUCGAAUGCGUCCUGAAGAUAAAUGAUGCAAAGAAACUGAUUGGCACUUGAGAUGUACAAGUCGAUCUUUACCGUUUGAAAAUAGGAUGCCUGAAACAACAAUGGAGGAGACUUCAACAAUGAAUACAACAAAGGGCUAAAUUGAUUUAAACAGCGGUAUAUGCACACAUCAACAUCGUCUAGGGAUAUUUUGAAUUACCUCAAUUUACUAAAAUAAAAAAAAUAUAUAACAUGCAA